CAGAGUAUGCUAUGGAUGGGCUAUAUUCUACAAAAUCCGAUGUGUUUAGCUUCGGAGUCUUGGCACUAGAGAUCAUUAGCGGCAGAAAGAACAAUUUCCAAUUCGAAAACACCUUUCUGAAUUUGGUUGGACUUAUAUGGGACUUGUGGACAGAAGGAAAAGUCUUGGACAUAAUUGAUUCAUCACUGAACCAGUCGUAUUCGACUCAUGAAGUUAUGAGAUGCAUUUAGAUUGGGCUCUUGUGCGUGCAAGAAAACGCAACGGACCGGCCAGCCAUGCUAGAUGUUGUAUUCAUGCUGGGGAAUGAAACGAAUCUUCCACAUCCAAAAAGGCAGCGUCUAGCUUCAAAACCGGCGGUCCAGAUUCUUCAACGUCUAGAGGAGCUUCCUCUGUAAAUGAUAUAACAGUAACAGUUAUUGAAGCUCGUUGAGUUUGCACUUUUUAGGCCCUUGUAGAGAUUUUGCUUUACUUCUUAAAGUAUUUGUACUCAAAUCGAGAUUUCUUUGUAUGUGAGGAUUUUAAAUUCAAAUUCAAAUCCUAGAAUCCAAACGA